rnacentral:rRNA from 1 species
UACGUAGGGGGCAAGCGUUGUCCGGAAUCAUUGGGCGUAAAGCGCGCGUAGGCGGCCCGGUAAGUCCGCUGUGAAAGUCGGGGGCUCAACCCUCGGAUGCCGGUGGAUACUGUCGGGCUUGAGUGCGGAAGAGGCGAGUGGAAUUCCUGGUGUAGCGGUGAAAUGCGCAGAUAUCAGGAGGAACACCAAUGGCGAAGGCAGCACUCUGGGACGUGACUGACGCUGAGACGCGAAAGCGUGGGGAGCAAACAGG